rnacentral:rRNA from 1 species
AGUGAACGCUGGCGGUAGGCCUAACACAUGCAAGUCGAACGGCAGCACAGUAAGAGCUUGCUCUUACGGGUGGCGAGUGGCGGACGGGUGAGGAAUACAUCGGAAUCUACUUUUUCGUGGGGGAUAACGUAGGGAAACUUACGCUAAUACCGCAUACGACCUACGGGUGAAAGCAGGGGAUCUUCGGACCUUGCGCGAUUGAAUGAGCCGAUGUCGGAUUAGCUAGUUGGCGGGGUAAAGGCCCACCAAGGCGACGAUCCGUAGCUGGUCUGAGAGGAUGAUCAGCCACACUGGAACUGAGACACGGUCCAGACUCCUACGGGAGGCAGCAGUGGGGAAUAUUGGACAAUGGGCGCAAGCCUGAUCCAGCCAUACCGCGUGGAUGAAGAAGGCCUUCGGGUUGUAAAGCCCUUUUGUUGGGAGAGAAAAGCAGCAGGUUAAUACCCCGCUGUUCUGACGGUACCCAAAGAAUAAGCACCGGCUAACUUCGUG